GCCGAGGUGGCGGAAUUGGCAGACGCGCUAGGCUCAGGACUUAGUGGUUAACAGCCGUAGGGGUUCAACUCCCCUCCUCGGCA
rnacentral:tRNA from 1 species